GAUGAACGCUGGCGGCGUGCCUAACACAUGCAAGUCGAACGGGAACCCUUGGAUUCGUCUGGGGGUGAGAGUGGCAAACGGGUGAGUAACACGUAGGUGACCUGCCCCAAAGCGGGGAAUAACCACUGGAAACGGUGGCUAAUACUCCAUGUGCUCGGUGAUUCGUUUCGCUGAGUAAAGCCCCUGAAAGGGGAGCGCUUUGGGAGGGGCCUGCGGCCCAUCAGGUAGUUGGUAGGGUAAUGGCCUACCAAGCCAAUGACGGGUAGGGGGCGUGAGAGCGUGACUCCCCCACACUGGCACUGAGAUACGGGCCAGACACCUACGGGUGGCAG
rnacentral:rRNA from 1 species